UUGGAUUUUGCAGGAGGGCGCACGACCGGGCUUUGCUCAGGCCGCGCGCCUACCUGUUUUUUGUCGGGGACUACGCCACUCUUAACUGGGGGGCGCUAGGACGCGGCUCGUUUACUUUGAAAAAAUUAGAGUGUUCAAAGCAGGCCUUUGCUUGAAUACAUUAGCAUGGAAUAAUGGAAUAGGACUUUGGUUCUAUUUUGUUGGUUUCUGGAACCGAAGUAAUGAUAAAUAGGGAUAGUUGGGGGCGUUUAUAUUUCCAUGUCAGAGGUGAAAUUCUUGGAUUUUGGAAAGAUAAACUUCUGCGAAAGCAUUCGCCAAGGAUGUUUUCAUUAAUCAAGAACGAAAGUUAGGGGAUCGAAGACGAUCAGAUACCGUCGUAGUCCUAACCAUAAACUAUGCCGACUAGGGAUCAGUGGACGUUAUUUUAUGACUCCAUUGGCACCUUGUGAGAAAUCAAAGUUUUUGGGUUCCGGGGGGAGUAUGGUCGCAAGGCUGAAACUUAAAGGAAUUGACGGAAGG
rnacentral:rRNA from 1 species